rnacentral:rRNA from 1 species
AGCGUAGGCGGUUCGGUAAGCCCUCUGUGAAAUCUUCAGGCUUAACCUGGAAAAGUCGGAGGGGACUGCUGGGCUAGAGGACGGGAGAGGAGCGCGGAAUUCCCGGUGUAGCGGUGAAAUGCGUAGAGAUCGGGAGGAAGGCCGGUGGCGAAGGCGGCGCUCUGGAACGUUUCUGACGCUGAGGCUCGAAAGCGUGGGGAGCAAACAGGAUUAGAUACCCUGGUAGUCCACGCCUUAAACUAUGAAUACUAAGUGUCGGCGGUUUACCGCCGGUGCCGCAGCUAACGCAUUAAGUAUUCCGCCUGGGAAGUACGGCCGCAAGGUUGAA